AGGGCUGGAGCUUGGCUGGAAGAGUGCUUGCCUAAAAUGCAUGAGGCUCUGGGUUCAAUCCCCAGCACCACCC
rnacentral:tRNA from 1 species